GGUAUGUAUGAAAGGAAAGAAAGUUAGCACUCCUCUUGACAAGGAUGGAAGAGGCCCUUGGGCCUGACAACACACAUAUGGUUAAGGCAUUUCCACCUACUUCGUGGCAUCUAACCACUGUUUUUA
ensembl:snRNA